UACAGAGGGUGCAAGCGUUAAUCGGAAUUACUGGGCGUAAAGCGCGCGUAGGUGGUUUGUUAAGUUGGAUGUGAAAGCCCCGGGCUCAACCUGGGAACUGCAUUCAAAACUGACAAGCUAGAGUAUGGUAGAGGGUGGUGGAAUUUCCUGUGUAGCGGUGAAAUGCGUAGAUAUAGGAAGGAACACCAGUGGCGAAGGCGACCACCUGGACUGAUACUGACACUGAGGUGCGAAAGCGUGGGGGAGCAAACAGG
rnacentral:rRNA from 1 species